GGGGAUAACUACUGGAAACGGUAGCUAAUACCGCAUAACGUCGCAAGACCAAAGAGGGGGACCUUCGGGCCUCUUGCCAUCGGAUAUGCCCAGAUGGGAUUAGCUAGUAGGUGGGGUAACGGCUCACCUAGGCGACGAUCCCUAGCUGGUCUGAGAGGAUGACCAGCCACACUGGAACUGAGACACGGUCCAGACUCCUACGGGAGGCAGCAGUGGGGAAUAUUGCACAAUGGGCGCAAGCCUGAUGCGGCCAUGCCGCGUGUAUGAAGAAGGCCUUCGGGUUGUAAAGUACUUUCAGCGGGGAGGAAGGGAGUAAAGUUAAUACCUUUGCUCAUUGACGUUACCCGCAGAAGAAGCACCGGCUAACUCCGUGCCAGCAGCCGCGGUAAUACGGAGGGUGCAAGCGUUAAUCGGAAUUACUGGGCGUAAAGCGCACGCAGGCGGUUUGUUAAGUCAGAUGUGAAAUCCCCGGGCUCAACCUGGGAACUGCAUCUGAUACUGGCAAGCUUGAGUCUCGUAGAGGGGGGUAGAAUUCCAGGUGUAGCGGUGAAAUGCGUAGAGAUCUGGAGGAAUACCGGUGGCGAAGGCGGCCCCCUGGACGAAGACUGACGCUCAGGUGCGAAAGCGUGGGGAGCAAACAGGAUUAGAUACCCU
rnacentral:rRNA from 1 species